rnacentral:rRNA from 1 species
UACGGAGGGUGCAAGCGUUGUCCGGAAUCACUGGGCGUAAAGGGCGCGUAGGCGGCUCGGUAAGUAGGGGGUGAAAUCCUGCGGCUCAACCGCAGGGCUGCCUUCUAAACUGUCGAGCUCGAGCACGGUAGAGGCAGAUGGAAUUCCCGGUGUAGCGGUGGAAUGCGUAGAGAUCGGGAAGAACACCAGUGGCGAAGGCGGCUCACUGGCCCGAUACUGACGCUGAGGCACGAAAGCGUGGGGAGCAAACAGG